rnacentral:rRNA from 1 species
GAUGAACGCUGGCGGCGUGCCUAAUACAUGCAAGUCGAGCGAACAGACGAGGAGCUUGCUCCUCUGACGUUAGCGGCGGACGGGUGAGUAACACGUGGAUAACCUACCUAUAAGACUGGGAUAACUUCGGGAAACCGGAGCUAAUACCGGAUAAUAUAUUGAACCGCAUGGUUCAAUAGUGAAAGACGGUUUUGCUGUCACUUAUAGAUGGAUCCGCGCCGCAUUAGCUAGUUGGUAAGGUAACGGCUUACCAAGGCAACGAUGCGUAGCCGACCUGAGAGGGUGAUCGGCCACCCUAGAACUGAGACACGGUCCAGACUCCUACGGGAGGCAGCAGUAGGGAAUCUUACGCAAUGGGCGAAAGCCUGACGGAGCAACGCCGCGUGAGUGAUGAAGGUCUUCGGAUCGUAAAACUCUGUUAUUAGGGAAGAACAAAUGUGUAAGUAACUAUGCACGUCUUGACGGUACCUAAUCAGAAAGCCACGGCUAACUACGUG